rnacentral:sRNA from 1 species
CUCCUGAUCUCAAGUGAUCCACCUGCCUCGGCCUCCCAAAAUGUUGGGAUUACAGGCAUGAGCCACGGCACCGGCCUACACCUCUUUAUUUUGUCAUCUAUCAAUAAUUUUCUCUUUGAUGUCUUUCUUUGCCUGGAGACUAAGAUGUUUUUCAAGAUGGAUACCAGUUCUUAUACAUCUUGGUAACUCCCCUCAGCACAGUGCCUAGCAUAGAAAGAGAAAACCUUUGGAUGAUUGAAUAACUUGCCCAGAGUCAGGUUCUCAGUCAUCCAGGCAGGCUUUGCUGCUGGAGUAUCUUUGGUUGUUUUCUGGGGAUUACGUUCGCUUGCCACAGUUUUUCUCCCCUUUUCCUUGCAUAUCUGGUUCUGAUUGAGCCUGAAUUUCUGUGAGAGCAGAUGAGAGACCAGUGGAUGUAGACUGGGUUAGAUUGAGUAUCCUGUUGCAUACAAUCCCACACUGUAGGAUCUGCAUUGGCAAUACCUCUGUCACUCUUUUCCUGCUUCUCCCCAGUGUCUCGACUGCAUUGUGAGAGUGAAUCUUUCAAGAUGGAUCUAAUCUUAGAUGUAAACAUUCAAAUUUACCCUGUAGACUUGGGUGACAAGUUCCGGUUGGUCAUAGCUAGUACCUUGUAUGAAGAUGGUACCCUGGAUGAUGGUGAAUACAACCCCACUGAUGAUAGGCCUUCCAGGGCUGACCAGUUUGAGUAUGUAAUGUAUGGAAAAGUGUACAGGAUUGAGGGAGACGAAACUUCUACUGAAGCAGCAACACGCCUCUCUGCCUACGUGUCCUAUGGGGGCCUGCUCAUGAGGCUGCAGGGGGAUGCCAAUAACCUGCAUGGAUUUGAGGUGGACUCCAGAGUUUAUCUCCUGAUGAAGAAGCUAGCCUUCUGAACCUCGCCUGAAGCCAGCCUCGCUGCCAAGUCACUCAGGUCAUGGGCAUUGUUCAAGCCUGAGUGGCAGCCGCUCUUGCCCCUCUUGAGGAGGGGCUGGCUCACUGUCCACUGUGGUGGCAUCUUUAACUGGCCUCCA